CUGGUAAAGUUUUCAUGUCACACUUCAACUGCCACUGAGGAACUGUAUCAGGGGACAGAUAGAAAUUGACCACUUGGGCCAGUGCCCGGCCACUUUCAGAUAAGCUUUGAACAAGGAAGAAAGGGAAAAUGCAGAAAGAAUAGAAGUUUGACAGCUGCUUUGAAACCUCUGGAGAUUAAACCUUAGGGUACCCCAACUCUGCC